GAAAACAGGUCAAUGCACUCAGCAUAACCUUCGGGAGGGUAUAUUUUCCCCUGCACAUCCUCCUGUAGCCAGCAGGGAUAAUGGUACCUGUAGUGGAGCUGGUACGGCUCCAACAACUCUGCGCGGAGGCGUGAGCCUGCAGGGAUAAACUUUCACUCAAGUUUCGCCUUUGUACUUCUGUGUCUUUGGCUCCAGAGAAAUGGAGAAGCCUCCACAAAGGCUCCAACCUGGAGUUAGGGACACGGAAGCUUCAGGUUGAGACCCCCGGGCUUAGAGUAGAGGAAAUGAAAGAAUUCUCAGUGACAAGUGAUGCCCGCACAGAGAAUCGCCUGCCUGGAUCCGGGCUGCCGAGGGACAGAGCUGGUCAUCCUGGGGACAAACAGAGCCAAACCUAGAAGCUUGGCUGUCGUUUUGCUCAUCCGCGUUGGGCUCAGGGACCCUCUGCACUCCAUCAGAGCUCCUCGGGUCACCGCUGAGAGCAGGCUACAGAGAUGACCCCUCAGGAAGAAGUAAAAAAGAAUACAACAAGAGUUAAUGAGUGGGCUGGAAUGAAAAAAGAGCUAGAAGCCAAGUGUGAAAAAGUACUGUUCCACCAAGAGAAGAGAAAAAUAGGAUUUCCAUGGAAGGAAUCCAAGAGAAGUUUCCAAAUCUGUUUAGCAGACCUUGCUAAAAUAAAAACGUAACAAUAUGGACAGGAGAGUACUUCAAAGCGUUUGUCGAACAGAGGAAUUGAAAGAGAAGUUUAUUUCGGUGCAAAGACUUUUUGAAAUCCAUGCAUAGUUCUUUUAAUAAUAUAAAUUUUCCGCGAACUUUCUGAAGACCCUGCAUAUACCACAGACCCAGCAUUGACAGAGGUGGCCUCAGAAGAGUGGGGGAACAGGACAGUGACUCACAGCUGCCUCUCGACGUAGCCAGGGGCAGUUGUUGGGAGAACGCCGUGUGUAUUUCUGCUUGUUCUCUCAUUGGCUCAGCUUCUGAAGAUGCGAGAGGCAAGACGAGUCCACAGGCUACUGCUCUUAGCGAUGGCCUUCGUUUUGCACGAUGGCGCACACAUUCAAUUUCCGUUUUCAGUACAGGUGAAAUGCCUGCCAUUGUUUUCAUCCCCCUUAUGAAACAGAGACAGGGUAAACUAUGCUAGGUUCCCAGGUAUGACUGAAGACAAAGGGAAGUCAAAUGGACUUUACCAAAAAACCGCCAGGAAAUCUUUGCACCACUGUGGAAGGUCAGGAGGUGAAGCGGCGACAUCAAAAUGCAGCAGUAGGCAGUAAGUAACACAUCGUUGCAGAGAAUUAGAAUUCGGCCAGUGUAAACAAUAGCGGGUUAUUAUUCACCUUCCUGCCCGGAGGAUCAGGACACGGGAGUAUUUGUGACUGUGUUUUUCUCAGUAGGAACAAACCCCAGGUGCUGCCAGGCUGCAGAGCGGUCUCACUGUCUCCCCCCAUCAUCAACUGGUGCUCAGAGCAAGCCGAAGGGAGUGUGGGAUUCAAACAUAUUGUAUUUGUUGAGCGCGGUAUUAG
rnacentral:lncRNA from 1 species